AGGUGGUGGAUGUGACUUCCUGUCUGUAGCCCAUGUGACUGAUGAUGACAUCAUUGAGUUUCUCCCUCCCCAUGAGAUAACAGACACACAUGUCAUAAUAAGCAUCACUGGAUUCUCUGCUUAUGGUGAUGUCACAGAUGAGGAUGCUCCCAUCUCCCCCAUACUUGCACAUGUGUUGUUAUUCUACCAACCACUUGGCAAGAGGUCCAUCCUGAAUGUGUUGUUGCUUCCCAGUAAUGUUGUGAGAAAAGAGGUGCGGGAGUUGAUUGAAAGGGAUGGAAUAAGAGAAAUUCUAACAACUUCUCUGUGUACACUUACCCCAAAGCAAGAAUACACCCUCUCCACUAACCCUGCAGAUGCACAUCCAAUACAACCAAACCCAGCAAAAUUUGUGGAUUCCUAUGAAAACUACGUCCCCACAUUUCAGUUGUUUAUUAAACCUGUUGUUGAAGAAGUGAAUCUUCUUCUGGAAGAAAAUAAAGCUGAUAAACUUGUAUGGAACGGACUUAUCUGGCUUCCAGUUACACCACCAGGUGGCGCUACAGCAGGGACAACGAAGGUUCAUUUUCUGCUGAUUAACAUUCUGAAAAAGCUGGACCAAAGCGAC